rnacentral:rRNA from 1 species
CUCCAGCACGUCUCGAGACCCUCGGAGAC